UCAGGUUACAGUCUCACGUGUUUUGGAGCCCUGCGAGCCGUAAAAUGAUCUGCCCAAAGUAAGGCCCAGGAAUGGCUGUGUAAUUGAAGAGCCCCCGUGAAAAGUGAAGAUGGGGUUCACAGAUCAGUAGGAACUUCAAUAAGGAAAUGGCAGAGCAUUGAAACCUCCCAGGAUACCUUUGAAGCCACACCUCGGAGGAAACCCUCUAUUCUUUUGGGAAGAAUUAGGUGCAGUGACGAUGACUCCUUUAGAAAACAAUCACCCAAAAUCCCAAAUUAAGAUCCCCCCUGAGUGUGGCAAAUGCAGUCACACGGGCAUAUGGUGCUUCAGAGAAUGCAAGAGAAUGGAUUUCCAAGCAAGAUACAUUUCAGGUUCGGCACACCGGCAAGUUGAACAAACUCACAGAGACGCAUACCGAUUUUAGGAGGAAAAGGGAAGAAGCGGGGUGACCACUGUGGCGUGAAGAGGGGACGCAGAAAUCCCAUCUCCCCUGCCUCGUAGUACCGCCACUCCCUUCCAAUGAUGCUGCCGUUGCUCAAACGUCCUGCAUGCCGCCUCUGGUGCUACCCACAGUACUUCCUCUCCAAACAUACGGAGAAGUGUUUCAAGGUGUAGGUAAUCACCACUGGUGACUCUGUGAGGGGUCCAACUAGAUAGUGAGGAUUUUUCUUUUUCGUUACGGCAGAUUCAAAGAUAAGGAGACAAGUUUUCUUUCACAGCUAAGUCAUCAACUACUCACAAGGGGAAUCCACGGGAUAAAGUCUCAGAGUUUUUGAGCAAUGCCAGCAUAAUGGGGGGAGGUUCAAAACAUCCAGCUGAUUAUGGAAGGACACUUCCGGUUCUAAUCGGUGGGAUAGGUUUGCAUAACAACAAAACAAAAGAAAAAUCGCUGAAAUUUUAUCUCAUGUUAUAUGGGAAAAAAUCUGUCCUCUCAAGUAUACUUGUAAUUGUAGUCUCCUCUUUCAAGAAACUUUCUUUUUUACACUGUAUUAAGGCACAGGAGAGGGAUACUAAGGAUCUCCUCUUACCUCCUAAAACAAUAAUACUAAGGAGAUUUAAAAUAAACCCAAGUUUUCUUUUUAAAAAUCCCAGACAGAUCAUGUAUACACAUUGAAGACAUAAUUGGGGGGAAAAAUCAACAUUUCCCCUCAACCUUAUCAUUGUCUAAUAUUUUAAAAUAAGCAUCGAAAUGUUUAGCCCUGCAAAAGAUCUAAAGAAACCACAUCUGCCAGAAGGAUUGCUAUUGAUCUGUCUCAAGCAUAUAGCCAUGUAUGAUAUAAACUCAAACUUAAGGUUUGUUUUCCAAGACUGUACAGCUCUGCAAAAAUAUCCAGAAAUCCAGUUUCCCAAAAAGAUGAGUAAGCCCCUUUCAGUCACAAUUUAAACUGGGCAUUUCAUCUUUUAAGAUUACAAUACAAAUAAGAUGAAUCAUUUGGUACUUUAUCUAGGAUUGUUCAUAGUGAUGGCACUUUUUCCUGCAGUUUGCAAAAAUGAAAAAGUUAAAGCUGUAGAUCUGAGCCUAAAUUUCAUAUUCACAACUAGUAAUUAUUUUUAAAUUUGAUCAUUUGCUAUUUAAAAAAGGCAAUUUGAAGAAAAUGUCUGCUUCUUGCUUAUGCUUCCUGUAUUUUGAAAGCAUUCAUAGCUAAAGAUACUCUGGAUUUUAUCCCCUAAGGGAGGCUGAGGAAGAAAGGGUAAGAUCUUGAACAGAGGUCUCCUUCAGCACCCAAGUGUUUUAAUGGAAUGAAAAAGGACACUUCAAGCCAUAAUAGAUAUGCAGGGCUGGGUAAGGUUGAUAAAUUAAUUCUAUGGUUAUAUUCAUUUUCUUUUAAAAUGCUAAUUUACCAAGAACAUAACAGAGGAAAUGUGUUUUCUGUUUUUGUUUUUGUCCUAUCUAAAAUUUAAAAAGUAGCAAAGCGAACUUCCUUUGCACCCUAACAUGAAUCCCUAUCAUAUUUAUGAGGACGUACAGUAUCCUAAGAUAUGUGCAUUUUAAAUGUUCCAAACUGUGGUGGAAUUGGGGGAUUCUGAGAAUUCUAGGUAGUAAAAGAGCAAAAAAAUUGUGACAUGGGACUGGCCCUCUUCUAUAGCAGGAACAUUUAAAUCAAGAAAUUGAGAGGUAAAAUUCAAAAAUGUGUGAGGGCUUCAUUGAAUACAGCAGAAAAUGACCCAACUAGAAAUGAGGUAUGUCAUGUGACCCUCCAGCCUGGUUAGGGCAUUCCCAGUGGAGCUGAGGAAUUUGAUCUGUUUUAUAGCAAACAGAUGUUUGGUGUUAGAGUGAAGGUACACAAUUUUUCAGAGUAUCUAUGAAUCUCUGAUUAAUAGUUUGAUGCAAAAAAGAAAAAAAAAAGGAACUAAAUCCAAAACCUUAAUAAUGUAUUUUGCUUUCCUGUAAUGACUCCUAUAUAUAGUGCUACUACUUAGAUUGUGUAGCUUUCCUACUAAUUACAGUAAGGAGCUUUUUAAAAAUUUUUGUUUGUUUGUUUUUCUGAAUCAAACCUGUUAAGGUUAUGUGAAGUCUGUCUUAGUUCCCCAGGUUAAAAAAAAAAAAAAAGAAGCUGUGUAUCUCAGCAAAUUCUGGUGGAGGCUUAAGACUGAAAAGCAUGAGGUUUGUUUAAAUAACAGGACAACCUCAACAUCGGGCCAACAGUGUCCUCUAUUCUUUUUCCCUUACACAGUAACAAUCAGAUAGAAAUGAUUUUGCUGGCUGGUCCAUCCAAAAUCUGAUGCCAAUGUAAUAGGAGUCUUCUGUCCCAGCAUUUAAUCCCAAUAAACUAUCCGCUCACUAAAAUACUCCCAUAACUCUGACUCUGUGUGUAUGAAAACAAUACUCAUGUAUCUUACAACAAAGUCGUUUACAAAUGGAAAGUUCCAGGGCACCUGAUUGGCUUACUCGGUUAAGCGUGGGACUCUUGAUCAGGGCUCAGGUCAUGAUCUCAUGGUUUGUGGGAUCGAGCCUGGCGUUGGGCUUGUGCUGAAAGCACACAGCCUGCUUUGGAUUCUCUCUCUGUCCCUCCCCGACUCGGGCUCGCCCUCUCAAAAUAAAUAAGCUUAAAAAAAUGUUAAUUAAAAAAAAAAAAAGAAAAGAAAAAA